AUAAGUCUCCACAGAUAGUAUCAGCGACGUUUGAUGACACUAACGACGGAAAGUAUUCAUGUCAGCAGUACUGUCAAUCAUCACAAUACUUUUCUUUUGAGGAUGGUGCGUGUUACUGUCUAGAUGUAACCGGUUCUCCUGUUUUACAUUCAUAUUGUCAAACAUCGAGUCAAACAACGAGUUAUGUGGUUGUCUAUAAACAAAAUAUACCUGGAGUAAAGAGAACAUUAGAUAACACACCAGAAGAUCAACUAAAAUGUAUGUCAGCUCAGUGUCAGGAUGGAGAAAUCAUUCUCAGAUCAGAAAACUGCAACAGUUCUUAUGAAGGAAUAUGUGAAUCUGGGUUAAACAAUGGAAACUUUACAACACAACAAAGCGCUGCUACGUUAUGUGACAACGCUGAUUCAUUUUUGCAGUGGUACAAUAACAAAUCCUUUUGUGACACUGAAAAAACUAACCAAUUAUGGACCAGUGCAACACGUGAUAUCUUUACACGUGAUCUAACAA